rnacentral:rRNA from 1 species
GUAACGCCGGGCUAUGAGGCGAGGUCAUACGGAGGAUCCAAGGUGUAUCCGGAAUUACUGGGGGUAAAGGGUGUCGUAGGUGGAAACGUAAGGUGAUGGUGAAAGCGUUCGGCUCAACCGAAUACACAGCAUCAAAACUGCGGAGCUAGAGGACGAGAGAGGUAAUUGGAAUUCCUAAUGUAGGGGUAAAAUCCGUUGAUAUUAGGAGGAACACCGAUGGCGUAGGCAGAUUACUGGCUCGUUCCUGACACUAAGGCACGAAAGCGUGGGGAGCAAACAGGAUUAGAUACCCCUGUAGUC